GACGAACGCUGGCGGCGUGCCUAAUACAUGCAAGUAGAACGCUGAAGAGAGGAGCUUGCUCUUCUUGGAUGAGUUGCGAACGGGUGAGUAACGCGUAGGUAACCUGCCUUGUAGCGGGGGAUAACUAUUGGAAACGAUAGCUAAUACCGCAUAACAAUGGAUGACACAUGUCAUUUAUUUGAAAGGGGCAAUUGCUCCACUACAAGAUGGACCUGCGUUGUAUUAGCUAGUAGGUGAGGUAAUGGCUCACCUAGGCGACGAUACAUAGCCGACCUGAGAGGGUGAUCGGCCACACUGGGACUGAGACACGGCCCAGACUCCUACGGGAGGCAGCAGUAGGGAAUCUUCGGCAAUGGGGGCAACCCUGACCGAGCAACGCCGCGUGAGUGAAGAAGGUUUUCGGAUCGUAAAGCUCUGUUGUAAGUCAAGAACGGGUGUGAGAGUGGAAAGUUCACACUGUGACGGUAGCUUACCAGAAAGGGACGGCUAACUACGUGCCAGCAGCCGCGGUAAUACGUAGGUCCCGAGCGUUGUCCGGAUUUAUUGGGCGUAAAGCGAGCGCAGGCGGUUUGAUAAGUCUGAAGUUAAAGGCUGUGGCUCAACCAUAGUUCGCUUUGGAAACUGUCAAACUUGAGUGCAGAAGGGGAGAGUGGAAUUCCAUGUGUAGCGGUGAAAUGCGUAGAUAUAUGGAGGAACACCGGUGGCGAAAGCGGCUCUCUGGUCUGUAACUGACGCUGAGGCUCGAAAGCGUGGGGAGCGAACAGGAUUAGAUACCCUGGUAGUCCACGCCGUAAACGAUGAGUGCUAGGUGUUGGAUCCUUUCCGGGAUUCAGUGCCGCAGCUAACGCAUUAAGCACUCCGCCUGGGGAGUACGACCGCAAGGUUGAAACUCAAAGGAAUUGACGGGGGCCCGCACAAGCGGUGGAGCAUGUGGUUUAAUUCGAAGCAACGCGAAGAACCUUACCAGGUCUUGACAUCCCGAUGCUAUUUCUAGAGAUAGAAAGUUACUUCGGUACAUCGGUGACAGGUGGUGCAUGGUUGUCGUCAGCUCGUGUCGUGAGAUGUUGGGUUAAGUCCCGCAACGAGCGCAACCCCUAUUGUUAGUUGCCAUCAUUCAGUUGGGCACUCUAGCGAGACUGCCGGUAAUAAACCGGAGGAAGGUGGGGAUGACGUCAAAUCAUCAUGCCCCUUAUGACCUGGGCCACACACGUGCUACAAUGGUUGGUACAACGAGUUGCGAGUCGGUGACGGCGAGCUAAUCUCUUAAAGCCAAUCUCAGUUCGGAUUGUAGGCUGCAACUCGCCUACAUGAAGUCGGAAUCGCUAGUAAUCGCGGAUCAGCACGCCGCGGUGAAUACGUUCCCGGGCCU
rnacentral:rRNA from 1 species